UGCGGGGCUAGGGCUAACAGCAGUCUUACUGAAGGUUUCCUGGAAACCACGCACAUGCUGUUGCCACUAACCUCAACCU
rnacentral:pre_miRNA from 1 species